UCUGAGCACAUCGAAUCUUCAACUACAAUAAUACUCAGCACGUCAGAGCUCAGAAGCCACUUCAAGCCAGAGCCAGGUAGAGAGAGAGAGAGAGAGAGAGAGAGAUGGGGGUGACAAAGGAGCAAGUAGAAUCUUCGUUGAGGGCAAAGAUGAAUCCUUCGCAGCUCGAGGUCAUUGAUACAUCUGGAGGAUGUGGUGCAAGUUUUGCGAUUGAAAUUGUGUCAGAAAAAUUUGAAGGGAAGAGGUUGUUGGAGAGGCAUCGGUUGGUGAAUGCUGCCCUGGAAGAAGAAAUGAAAGAAAUUCAUGCUUUAUCAAUUAAGAAAGCUUUGACCCCAGAGCAGUGGAACCAGCAGCAACAGACUGAAAAAUCUCAUCCUGCAUCUUAGAAACAUGAGUUGAAAAUAGUUGUGGAACUUUGUGCUAUUGCUGAUAAGCAUGGAAUGACUUGGGAAUAUGUCUUGAGCUUGUUGAGACUUGGGUCCAAGUUUAUUUACUUAAAAAAUUUAGCGUCAAUUCUAUACGAAUUUAAAUUGAUCCAACUAACUAGAUGUGUUUUAAGUGGAAUGCAGGGGAUGACAUCUCAUUCACCAAGUUAGUCCCUGAUGGCCUAACUCUCAUGAACCAUUUGCUGGGUGUCCUAAGUAAAGUAGAUGUAUAAUGACAAAAUUGGGCGACAAUGAGUAAAGGAUAAAAUAGGCAGUUAAUACAA